CAAAUUAAAUUUAAUUGAUGAUUCAUAAAUAAAACCGCGGCAAGUAGCAAUGCCCAUGUCACCUGACUUAUGAAGUAAUGGGGAAAUUUACGUACGUCACUAUUAUAAAGUUGGGCGUUACGAUACGCAAUACCUUUUAGUUUUACUAGGUAUUAAGAGAUUGUUCGAAGCUUAUGCAACAUAUUGUAUUGAAUGGUAUAUAUUUUUCAGGUUUCGGAAAACUAAUUAUACAUUGACUUUUGCCAACGAGGCUUAUCUUAACAGUAUUUUCAAACAUGAAGUGUGUAUUAACCUUUCUGUUCGUAUUUGUCGCUGUUAACCAUAUAAACAUGGUUACAUCAUUUACCUGUACCAAAAAAGAUAUUUUUGGAAAUACCAAGUAUUUCAAUUGUCCACA